GUUUGAUCAUGGCUCAGAUUGAACGCUGGCGGCAGGCCUAACACAUGCAAGUCGAACGGUAACAGGAAGCAGCUUGCUGCUUCGCUGACGAGUGGCGGACGGGUGAGUAAUGUCUGGGAAACUGCCUGAUGGAGGGGGAUAACUACUGGAAACGGUGGCUAAUACCGCAUAACGUCGCAAGACCAAAGAGGGGGACCUUCGGGCCUCUUGCCAUCAGAUGUGCCCAGAUGGGAUUAGCUAGUUGGUGAGGUAACGGCUCACCAAGGCGACGAUCCCUAGCUGGUCUGAGAGGAUGACCAGCCACACUGGAACUGAGACACGGUCCAGACUCCUACGGGAGGUUGCAGUGGGGAAUAUUGCACAAUGGGCGCAAGCCUGAUGCAGCCAUGCCGCGUGUAUGAAGAAGGCCUUCGGGUUGUAAAGUACUUUCACCGGGUCGGAAGGUGUUGUGGUUAAUAACCGCAGCAAUUGACGUUACCCGCAGAAGAAGCACCGGCUAACUCCGUGCCAGCAGCCGCGGUAAUACGGAGGGUGCAAGCGUUAAUCGGAAUUCGUGGGCGUAAAGCGCACGCACUCGGUCUGUCAAGUCGGAUGUGAAAUCCCCGGGCUCAACCUGGGAACUAAAUUCGAAACUGGCAGGAGUGAGUCUUGUAGAGGGGGGUAGAAUUCCAGGUGUAGCGGUGAAAUGCGUAGAGAUCUGGAGGAAUACCGGUGGCGAAGGCGGCCCCCUGGACAAAGACUGACGCUCAGGUGCGAAAGCGUGGGGAGCAAACAGGAAUAGAUACCCUGGUAGUCCACGCCGUAAACGAUGUCUACUUGGAGGUUGUGCCCUUGAGGCGUGGCUUCCGGAGCUAACGCGUUAAGUAGACCGCCUGGGGAGUACGGCCGCAAGGUUAAAACUCAAAUGAAUUGACGGGGGCCCGCACAAGCGGUGGAGCAUGUGGUUUAAUUCGAUAUAACGCGAAGAACCUUACCUCAUCUUGACAUCCACAGAACUUUCCAGAGAUGGAUUGGUGCCUUCGGGAACUGUGAGACAGGUGCUGCAUGGCUGUCGUCAGCUCGUGUUGUGAAAUGUUGGGUUAAGUCCCGCAACGAGCGCAACCCUUAUCCUUUGUUGCCAGCGGUUAGGCCGGGAACUCAAAGGAGACUGCCAGUGAUAAACUGGAGGAAGGUGGGGAUGACGUCAAGUCAUCAUGGCCCUUACGACCAGGGCUACACACGUGCUACAAUGGCGCAUACAAAGAGAAGCGACCUCGCGAGAGCAAGCGGACCUCAUAAAGUGCGUCGUAGUCCGGAUUGGAGUCUGCAACUCGACUCCAUGAAGUCGGAAUCGCUAGUAAUCGUGGAUCAGAAUGCCAUUGUGAAUACGUUCCCGGGCCUUGUACACACCGCCCGUCACACCAUGGGAGUGGGUUGCAAAAGAAGUAGGUAGCUUAACCUUCGGGAGGGCGCUUACCACUUUGUGAUUCAUGACAUGGGUGAAGUCCAAACAAGGUAACCGUAGGGGAACCUGCGGUUGGAUCACCUCCUUACCUUAAAGAAGC
rnacentral:rRNA from 1 species